GGCGGAUCAGCCCGCUCCCGGUAAAACGGGACGGCCCGCCAGAGGACCCCUAAACUCUGUUUCUAUAUGUAACUUCUGAGUAAAACCAUAAAUAAAUCAAAACUUUCAACAACGGAUCUCUUGGUUCUGGCAUCGAUGAAGAACGCAGCAAAAUGCGAUAAGUAAUGUGAAUUGCAGAAUUCAGUGAAUCAUCGAAUCUUUGAACGCACAUUGCGCCCGCCAGUAUUCUGGCGGGCAUGCCUGUUCGAGCGUCAUUUCAACCCUCAAGCACAGCUUGGUGUUGGGACUCGCGUUAAUUCGCGUUCCCCAAAUUGAUUGGCGGUCACGUCGAGCUUCCAUAGCGUAGUAGUAAAACCCUCGUUACUGGUAAUCGUCGCGGCCACGCCGUUAAACCCCAACUUCUGAAUGUUGACCUCGGAUCAGGUAGGAAUACCCGCUGAACUU
rnacentral:rRNA from 1 species